GGGGGCGACCAGUUUCGACAGAUAUCUCUGAAGUUCGGUUGCAGGUACCGGUUGGCCAGGCCGGUUUAAAUAGGGCCAAAACAAUUAGUUGGCAACAACUACAACAACAACGUUUGGGCUACCGCCUAAACCCGUUUGCUCUUCUUCGCCGGCGGGCGGAGCGUAACGGUCAAAUAAGCCGGAUGCUGAAGGAAAGGUUCGUUUAGCCUAAUCCUUCUUAAGAUAAAUUAAACAAGCGCGCAAGCAGCGGCUUCGGGCAUGCGGGCGCGUUUUUAAGCCGAAGCUAAACCUGUAGUAACCGUGCCGUAUGGAUGUUUGGACGCGGGUGCGAAUCCCGCCGCCUCCACU
rnacentral:tmRNA from 1 species